rnacentral:rRNA from 1 species
UACGUAGGGUGCGAGCGUUGUCCGGAAUUACUGGGCGUAAAGAGCUCGUAGGUGGUUUGUCACGUUGUCCGUGAAAACUCACAGCUCAACUGUGGGCGUGCGGGCGAUACGGGCAGACUAGAGUACUGUAGGGGAGACUGGAAUUCCUGGUGUAGCGGUGGAAUGCGCAGAUAUCAGGAGGAACACCGGUGGCGAAGGCGGGUCUCUGGGCAGUAACUGACGCUGAGGAGCGAAAGCGUGGGGAGCGAACAGG